GGCUCAGAACGAACGCUGGCGGCGUGCUUAACACAUGCAAGUCGAACGAACCUUCGGGUUAGUGGCGGACGGGUGAGUAACGCGUGAGAAUCUGCCCUCAGGAGGGGGAUAACGGUUGGAAACGACCGCUAAUACCCCAUAUGCCGAGAGGUGAAAAGAAAUUCGCCUGAGGAUGAGCUCGCGUCUGAUUAGCUAGUUGGUGUGGUAAUGGCGCAGCAAGGCUUCGAUCAGUAGCUGGUCUGAGAGGAUGAUCAGCCACACUGGGACUGAGACACGGACCAGACUCCUACGGGAUUCAGCAGUGG
rnacentral:rRNA from 1 species